GUUCGGCUUUUUUUUUUUUUUUUUCAAUCUUUGUACUGUAUGGUUUUCUAUCAUAUAAUUACAGUUUAAUCUGAUUACAAGUUUAAAUAUACUUUUUCCAAUGCCUUAGGAAAAAAAUUAUAUUGCUGUUCACAAUGGACAUGUCCAGCUUGCAAAAAGUUAUAAGAAGUUAGAAUGAGCUUUUCACAUAACAUGGAUGAUGAGUAUGAGAAACUCAUCCAGAGAAUGAAUCCACCAAGGUGGUACAAUAGUUCUACCCAAUCAAUCAUUUUAAACAAGUUACCUUUAUAAGGUAUCAAAACUACAAUUUUUCUAUAGCAAAUAAAAUUCUUUCCUUCA